ensembl:lncRNA
CUCCACUGCUGCCUCACGGGGGUAAUACACUCCACUGCUGCCUCACGGGGUAAUACACUCCACUGCUGCCUCACAGGGGUAAUACACUCCACUGCUGCCUCACGGGGGUAAUACACUCCACUGCUGCCUCACGGGGGUAAUACACUCCACUGCUGCCUCACGGGGCUAAUACACUCCACUGCUACUCUACCUUCCGUGAUCCAUACAAAGCCCUUCCCCGCCAUCCCUUCGGCAAAUCUGACCACGGCGCCAUCUUGCUCCUAUGGUCUUAAAGGUAGAAACUCAAACAGGAUGUACCAGUGACUAGAACCAUUCAACGCUGGUCUGACCAAUCGGAAUCCCUCCUUCAAGAUUGUUUGAUCACGCAGACUGGGAUAUGUUCCGGUCAGCCUCAGAGAACAACAUUGAUCUAUACGCUGACUCUGUGAGUGAGUUUAUAAGGAAGUGCAUUGGAGAUGUUGUACCCACUGUGACCAUUAAAACCUACCCUAACCAGAAACCGUGGCUGGAUGGCGGCAUUUGUGCAAAACUGAAAGCGCGAACCACCACAUUUAACCAUAGAAAGAGGUCUGGGAAUAUGGCUGAAUAUAAACAAUGCAGUUAUUCCCUCCGCAAGGCAAUCAAACAAGCGAAAUGCCGGUACAGGGACAAAGAUGAGUUGCAAUUCAACGGCUCAGACAGAAGACGUAUGUGGCAGGGCCUACAGGAAAUCAUGGACUGCAAAAAGAAAACCAGCUCUGUCACGGACACCGACGUCAUGCUUCCAGACAAACUAAACACCUUCGUUGCCCGCUUUGAGGAUAUACAGUGCCAACGUUGAGGCCCGCUAUCAAGGACUGAGCCCCCCCUUUCCUUCUCUGUGGCCGACGUGAGUAAAACAUUUAAACGUGUUAACCCUGCUGGCACAGACGGCAUCCUUAGCCGCGUUUUCAGAGCAUGGGCAGACCAGCUGGCUGGUGUGUUUACAGACAUAUUCAAUUGCUCCCUGUCCCAGUCUGCUGUCCCCACAUGCUUCAAGAUGGCCACCAUUGUUCCUGUACCCAAGAAGGCAAAGAUAACUGAACAAAAUGACUACUGCUCCGUAGCACUCACUUCUGUCAUCAUGACGUGCUGAGAGACUAGUCAAGGAUCAUAUCACCUCCACCUUACCUGUCACCCUAGACCCACUUCAGUUUGCAUACCACCCAAAUAGGUCCACAGACAAUGCAAUUGCCAUCACACUGCACACUGCACACUGCACACUGCACACUGCCCUAUCCCAUCUGAACAAGAGGAAUACCUAUGUAAGAAUGCUGUUCAUUGACUACAGCUCAGCAUUCAACACCAUAGUACCAUUCAAGCUCAUCAUCAAGCUGGAGGCCCUGGGUCUCAACCCCUGUGCAUUUGGGUCCUGGACGUUCUGACGGGCCUCCCCCAGGUGGUGAAGGUAGGAAACAACAUCUCCACUUCGCUGACCGUCUUACGGGCACUCGGAGUGUAGUGUCAGGAAAACAACUUCUCACUCAACGUCAACAAAACAAAGGAGAUGAUCGUGGACUUCAGGAAACAGCAGAGGGAGCAUCCCCCUAUCCACAUCGAAAGGACAGUAGUGGAGAAGGUAGAAAGUUUUAAGUUCCUCAGCGUACACAUCACAGACAAACUGAAAUGGUCCACCCACACAGACAGUGUGGUGAAGAAGGCGCCACAGCAUCUCUUCAACCUCAGGAGGCUGAAGAAAUUUGGCUUGUCAUCCAACACCCUGACAAACUUUUACAGAUACACAAUCGAGAGCAUCCUGUCGGGCUGUAUCACAGCCUGGUACGGCAACUGCACCGUCCUCAACCGCAAGGCUCUCCAGAGGGUAGUGAGGUCUGCACAACUCAUCACCGGGGCAAACUACCUGCCCUCCAUGACUCCUACAGCGCCCAAUGUCACAGGAAGGCCAAAAAGAUCAUCAAGGACAUCAACCACCUGAGCCACUGCCUGUUCACCCCGCUAUCAUCCAGAAGGCGAGGUCAGUACAGGUGCAUCAAAGCAGGGACCGAGAGACUAAAAAACAGCUUCUAUCUCAAGGCCAUCAGACUGCUAAACAGCAAUGACUAACUCAGAGAGGCUGCUGCCUACAUUGAGACCCAAUCACUGGCCACUUUAACAAUGGAUCACGAGCCACUUUAAAUAAUGGCAGUUUAAUAAUGUUAACAUAUCUUACAUUACUCAUAUCACAUGUACACACUGUAUUCUAUACCAUCUAUUGCACGUUGUCUCUGCCGCUCGGCUAUCGCUCAUCCACAUAUUUAUAUGUGCAUAUUCUCAUUCACCCCUUUUUUGUAUUAGGUAGUUGUUUGGGAAUUGUUAGAUUACUUGUUAGAUAUUACUGCACAAGCAUUUCGCAUUAACAUCUGCUAACCAUGUGUAUGUGACCAAUAAAAUUGGACUUGAUUCAUACAGUACACAUGUCAGUCUUACAGUUUCAUUCUCCUUGUACAGUACAUAUGUCAGUCUUACAGUUUCAUUCUCCUUGUACAGUACAUAUGUCAGUCUUAAUGUUUCAUUCUCCUUGUACAGUACAUAUGUCAGUCUUAAUGUUUCAUUCUCCUUGUACAGUACAUAUGUCAGUCUUAAUGUUUCAUUCUCCUUGUACAGUACAUAUGUCAGUCUUAAUGUUUCAUUCUCCUUGUACAGUACAUAUGUCAGUCUUAAUGUUUCAUUCUCCUUGUACAGUACAUAUGUCAGUCUUACUGUUUCAUUCUCCUUGUACAGUACAUAUGUCAGUCUUAAUGUCUCAUUCUCCUUGUACAGUACAUAUGUCAGUCUUACUGUUUCAUUCUCCUUGUACAGUACAUGUGUAGAUGAUCAGAUAUAUGGGGUAUUGUAAUGCAGUAGGAUACAGUUAUAACGUCCUGGUGUAGUCUGUAGUCUGGUGUAGCUAUUUCUGCCCCAUGCAACACUGUUUUCCUGUGUGAGUCGUCAACUGAUAUGGUAUCGCCUGUCUCUCCGCUUGAAAUUCAUCAGUGUAUCAAUGAAAUCUGGAUAAUGAGUAGAAUAUAUUGUUGUAUUCAACUCGGGUAUAAAUAUAUUGUUAUAUACAACCCAGGUAUAAAUAUAUUGUAAUAUACAACUCAGGUAUAAAUAUAUUGCUAUACUGUAACGGUUUUCUAGUGGUGAUGAAGGAGAGUCGGACCAAACUGCAGCGUGUCGAUUGAGAUUCAUGUUUAAUCAAACAAAGAAACACGAACACUACACAAAACAAUAAACGUAAUCGAAACCGAAACAGCCUAUCUAGUGCAAACUAACCGAGAGUACACAUAGGACACUAAGGACAAUCACCCACG